GGAGUUGUGGCUCAGUGGUAGAACACUUGCCUGGCAUGCAAGAGGACCUGGGUUCAAUCCUCAGUACCA
rnacentral:tRNA from 1 species